UACGUAGGUGGCAAGCGUUGUCCGGAUUUACUGGGCGUAAAGGAUGCGUAGGCGGACAUUUAAGUCAGAUGUGAAAUACCCGAGCUUAACUUGGGUGCUGCAUUUGAAACUGGGUGUCUAGAGUGCAGGAGAGGUAAGUGGAAUUCUUAGUGUAGCGGUGAAAUGCGUAGAGAUUAGGAAGAACACCAGUGGCGAAGGCGACUUACUGGACUGUAACUGACGCUGAGGCAUGAAAGCGUGGGGAGCAAACAGG
rnacentral:rRNA from 1 species